rnacentral:rRNA from 1 species
UACGAAGGGGGCUAGCGUUGCUCGGAAUCACUGGGCGUAAAGGGUGCGUAGGCGGGUCUUUAAGUCAGGGGUGAAAUCCUGGAGCUCAACUCCAGAACUGCCUUUGAUACUGAAGAUCUUGAGUCCGGGAGAGGUGAGUGGAACUGCGAGUGUAGAGGUGAAAUUCGUAGAUAUUCGGAAGAACACCAGUGGCGAAGGCGGCUCACUGGACCGGUAUUGACGCUGAGGUGCGAAAGCGUGGGGAGCAAACAGG